GGCCCCAUCGUCUAUCGGCUAGGACGGCUCCCUUUCAAGGAGCAAAGACGGGUUCGAUUCCCGUUGGGGCUA
rnacentral:tRNA from 1 species